AAGUUUGUGCAACAAAGCCACAAUAAAAGGACCUCUCUAGUCUGACAGACGUUCAGGUAACAUUUUGCAUUGCAGCAGGACAUUUCACCAGAAACUUGCAAAGACAAGAGGCACUGUCAAAACAUGAAGGCUGUUAUUCUUGCUCUUUUUGUGUUGCUGCUCAUCAGCCAAAAUGAAGCCUUGAGGUGUCUCUGUGGAGGUAAAAGACGAUGUUCAAGUCCUAUAGAGACCUGCACCACCUCUGACAGCGUCUGCAUCAGUGCCAACUUUUACGGCGUACCCCAGCCCUUCUACUUCAGGGGUUGCUACAGAGAAAGCGACUGCAGGAAGGUAAGCCUUCCCGGCAUGUCAACUGCCAGCUGCUGCAGGACCGACCUCUGCAACUGAAACAAACUGAAGACCAAGCAAAUAACUUACUUUGAACUGAAAAUGUACUUUAGUUUAAUGUGUGCUUGUGACAUAUUCAAUUCAGUUGUAUUGUCACUUGGUGGUGAAUCGUUGUAACUAACCUAAAUGAUGUUUUUAAUCAGUUUAAAUUGAUGCAUAGUUAAUUGAAUGAUUAUAUAAAUAAAACACUGAAUAAAACACUGGUGUAGAUUCUUGGUCAUCCAGGACAUAACAGUCCUAAGUGUUUAAGUAGAAGAAAACCAGACUUUUUCCUUUUGUUUAUUAAAGAUGUUUCAAGAUUAA